rnacentral:sRNA from 1 species
GAGCAGCAGAAGGCGGCGUCGUCGGAUGUUGUGUUGCCCGCCACCAUGAGCUACACAGGCUUUGUCCAGGGAUCUGAAACCACUUUGCAGUCGACAUACUCGGAUACCAGCGCUCAGCCCACCUGUGAUUAUGGGUAUGGAACUUGGAACUCUGGGACAAAUAGAGGCUACGAGGGCUAUGGCUAUGGCUAUGGCUAUGGCCAGGAUAACACCACCAACUAUGGGUAUGGUAUGGCCACUUCACACUCUUGGGAAAUGCCUAGCUCUGACACAAAUGCAAACACUAGUGCCUCGGGUAGCACCAGUGCCGAUUCCGUUUUAUCCAGAAUUAACCAGCGCUUAGAUAUGGUGCCGCAUUUGGAGACAGACAUGAUGCAAGGAGGCGUGUACGGCUCAGGUGGAGAAAGGUAUGACUCUUAUGAGUCCUGUGACUCGAGGGCCGUCCUGAGUGAGCGCGACCUGUACCGGUCAGGCUAUGACUACAGCGAGCUUGACCCUGAGAUGGAAAUGGCCUAUGAGGGCCAAUACGAUGCCUACCGCGACCAGUUCCGCAUGCGUGGCAACGACACCUUCGGUCCCAGGGCACAGGGCUGGGCCCGGGAUGCCCGGAGCGGCCGGCCAAUGGCCUCAGGCUAUGGGCGCAUGUGGGAAGACCCCAUGGGGGCCCGGGGCCAGUGCAUGUCUGGUGCCUCUCGGCUGCCCUCCCUCUUCUCCCAGAACAUCAUCCCCGAGUACGGCAUGUUCCAGGGCAUGCGAGGUGGGGGCGCCUUCCCAGGCGGCUCCCGCUUUGGUUUCGGGUUUGGCAAUGGCAUGAAGCAGAUGAGGCGGACCUGGAAGACCUGGACCACAGCCGACUUCCGGACCAAGAAGAAGAAGAGAAAGCAGGGCGGCAGUCCUGACGAGCCAGAUAGCAAAGCCACCCGCACGGACUGCUCGGACAAUAGCGACUCAGACAAUGAUGAGGGCACCGAGGGGGAAGCCACAGAGGGCCUUGAAGGCACCGAGGCUGUGGAGAAGGGCUCCAGAGUGGAUGGAGAGGACGAGGAGGGAAGAGAGGAUGGGAGAGAAGAAGGCAAAGAGGAUCCAGAGAAGGGUGAGUUUUCCUGGGGUGCCUGGUGCUAGGGCGGCUCUUCCAGGGGCUCACAGUGGGAGGGACCCAGCUGAGGGCAGGGUUGUGGCAGACAUGCGGCCAGUUGGGGACCUCCCUUGUGGGCCCGGGUGUGCGCUGGCAGGGGGCUUUCUUUUCGCCACCUCCACCCCCUUCCCACUCUUCCUCCUCCUUCCCAGGCGGAGGCUGUGGAUGGUGGUGACCCCUGCCUAGCACAUUGGUUUUGCCUUCAGAUGGGGGCAGCGAGUAAAAGUGUGGGGAACCCCAGGCACACCCCCUGCCCUCGGUCCCUCAGUAACACGCAGUUCCAAGUCCUCAGUGGCUGGUGUCCGAUCUGGGACCCUC